CAUCUUAUGUCCUAAAAUGCUUUACUUUGGCCUUGUUCCAGGUCAGGUUUUUUUUUCUUUUGGUUAUGGUGCACUUUUGGCUUGCAGUGCCCAGAGACCCCAAGAUCAUUCUCUCCAGAACUUGGUUGGCGAGCCCCAGCCCAGGGGACCAAGUGAACCGGUAGAUGGUGACCCUACUGGUCACUACCCGUGAGACAUUGAAUGAACAUUUGAUAGACACAUUGAAAAGACUGGGUUAUUUAUUUUAUUUUUUUAAAUUGUACAAUUUUGGUUUAUUUGUUAAUGUGGAUCCACAAUAUUCUUUAUAUUAAGUUCUACUCUUUCUUACAGACAUCGUGUGCUCUACUCUGUUAUUGCUUACACCUAGGCUCCCGUGAAUUUAGAAUCUUCUGAUCAGGCCCAACUUUCUUUAUCCUUGUGAAGUGUUGGUAUUAGUCAUUGAAGUAAAUUAACUUACCUGCCAUCUACUAUCAUUAAGGGUAUUUGAAGUAACCUUUCUUGUGGGUUACAAAAGCACUGAUGGUGCUACUUGUUGGGCAUUCUCCUGUUUUUAUUUGCAAUAGAAACUAAAAGGUUCUCCAAACUUCCUUGUUAAGUUGUGGUUGUUUUCCCUAGCAAACAUUGAUAGAGCUACUUCUGGCACUAAACAUGUGAAUUACUUUUACUAUUCCAUGGGAAAUGCACCUUGCUCUGUUUAACUGUUUUUCUUCCUGGUUGACAGAAAUAUUGGAGCUAUUGACUCUGUAUACUCUCUCUUUAUAUUUCUUUCAUAGGAAGUAUAACUUGUUUGGUGCUUUGCUGUGUUUCUUUCCCAGAAUAAAACAUUACACUGUCUUUAUAUAC